rnacentral:rRNA from 1 species
UACGUAGGGUGCGAGCGUUGUCCGGAAUUAUUGGGCGUAAAGAGCUCGUAGGCGGUUUGUUGCGUCUAUCGUGAAAACCUGCGGCUUAACUGUGGGCUUGCGGUGGAUACGGGCAGACUUGAGUUCGGUAGGGGAGACUGGAAUUCCUGGUGUAGCGGUGAAAUGCGCAGAUAUCAGGAGGAACACCGGUGGCGAAGGCGGGUCUCUGGGCCGAUACUGACGCUGAGACGCGAAAGCGUGGGGAGCAAACAGG